CCUGACCUCACAAAUCCCUAUAUCUAUAAUCCAACUUUGUGUGAGAAACUGCCUCAUGGCUGCAUUGGGGAUUCAACUCUAUAGUAAUGCCCCGUGAUUUGGAUUUUGUACGUCAAACAAGUGCUUAUAGGUGUGAUGGGCAGCUAUCCAUGACCAAACAGUAAUUUAUUCACAACUAAUGCAACUAAAUUAUAACAAAACAGAUUCACUUAUUGGCUUGCUUUGUUAAAAUUCCUUCUAUCUAGUAGGAAUGUGCAUGAGGAAAAUUUUCGGUUUGACACUUUGGAACUUCUCUUGCAGCCGCUUAGUAGAUAAUUCCCAAAAUUUUUUUACUUUCAGACAAAUUUACUACGAAGUAAAAACAUUACUUAGUAUUAGUAAAUAAUCUGCCCCUACUAUACAACAGGCUGCUCACUGUUCUAUAAAAAAGGUCCCCCCCACCUGCGCCACGCGAGUGGGGGCUUUUACAAUCGGUGUUAUGAGUCAAGUUACACAGCGUGGGAAAAUUCCAAAGAACUUUCCCACGCUGUGUAAAAUGACAGCACUCUGAUGGAUUUCAAGCUAACCAAUCAGAGU